CAUGCCGUAAACGAUGAUUACUAGGUGUGGGGGGUCUGACCCCUUCCGUGCCGGAGUUAACACAAUAAGUAAUCCACCUGGGAAGUACGACCGCAAGGUUGAAACUCAAAGGAAUUGACGGGGGCCCGCACAAGCAGUGGAGUAUGUGGUUUAAUUCGAAGCAACGCGAAGAACCUUACCAGGUCUUGACAUCUACCUAAUCCUCCAGAGAUGGGGGAGUGCCCUUCGGGGAAAGGUAAGACAGGUGG
rnacentral:rRNA from 1 species